rnacentral:rRNA from 1 species
CCCAGACUCCUACGGGAGGCAGCAGUGGGGGAUAUUGCACAAUGGGGGGAGCCCUGAUGCAGCGACGCCGCGUGGGUGAAGGAGCGUUUCGGCGCGUAAAGCCCUAUCGGCAGGGAAGAAGGAGGACGGUACCUGACUAAGAAGCCCCGGCUAACUACGUGCCAGCAGCCGCGGUAAUACGUAGGGGGCAAGCGUUAUCCGGAUUUACUGGGUGUAAAGGGGGCGCAGACGGCAGCGCAAGCCAGGAGUGAAAGCCCGGGGCCCAACCCCGGGACUGCUCUUGGAACUGCGCGGCUGGAGUGAAGGAGGGGCAGGCGGAAGUCCUGGUGUAGCGGUGAAAUGCGUAGAUAUCAGGAGGAACACCGGUGGCGAAGGCGGCCUGCUGGACUGCGACUGACGUUGAGGCCCGAAAGCGUGGGGAGCAAACAGGAUUAGAUACCCCCGUAGAU